rnacentral:lncRNA from 1 species
GGUACUGAGUGGGAAUGAUUAGAAUAAAAUUGAGGACUCUAGCAGCGGACUUAGAAUGGUAUCAGCGGGUUCUCAUCCUACAACCUGACUUUGGAAGUUGGAGAUAAGGGGUGUCUAGGGGUUGGGUCAGACUCCAGUUUUGGAGUCUGACUCACAGUUGGGCGGAGCCAAGGCCCCCUGAGGCUGAGCCAGAACCUCUGAGAGUGAACCUGGAGACUCAGAGGGCAGCUGGCAGGGCUCACAGUGUGGGGUCCCACCCUGCAGAGGCUGGGUCAGGCCCUCAAGGGCUGGGUUGCUGGCUUCAAGAGGCUGGGCCAGGAUGUCAAGGGGCGGAGUUCCGGGUUCCACAGCUGGGACAGUGUUGCCCAGAGCUGAUUCCUGGGACUUGCAGAAACGUGCGAAGCUGCUCCUGCCGCACGUCCACCAGGUACCUGCAGAUGGGAAGCGCCCUGUCAGGGACCCAGAUUUUGAUCCCCAGCCAGGAUGUUCCCCACCCUCCACCCCACUGACUCACCGGGCUAAUUCCACAAUCAAGUUCCCUCCGGGUGCCACACAGGCCCCAAGCUCAGGGAUGAGAAGAUGGACCAUACUGCAGAGAGGACGGAGGACAGGCUGAGAUUCAGCUCCAAAUCCGGAGGGAGGAUGGGGCUCUGGGAUCCCAGACAAUGAGGGAGGAGGGGUGGCAAAACUGGAGUCUGGGUCCUGGGGAAAGAAGGGAGCAGGAGGUCUGGACUCCUGGGUCUGAGGGAGGAGGGGCUGGGGGCCUGGACCCCUGGGUCUAAGCAAGGAGGGGCUGGGGGCCUGGACUCCUGGGUCUGAGGGAGGAGGGGCUGGGGGCCUGAUCCUGGGUCUUUGUGAGCACAGCUGCCUCCCCGCUUACCCACAGGCCACAUAGAGGAGCUGGAAUCGGCCGUUGUAGCAGCUCUUGUGGUGGAGAGUCUGAGCAGAAUUGAGCGGCAGGAAGUGGACGGAGGCUCUCGUCGUCCGCUUCGAUGCCGAAGGCCACGAAGGGCCCCGUGGCGAUGUCCCCCCAGUACCCGCGCGCUGCCACGCGCUCCCCACGCUGGAAAAGGAGGGAGAGAGGAGGCAGGUAAUCUAGAGAUGAUUUGCGGUGUAUGGGACCAUGUGUACAGGCUAUUUGUAAGUACAUCUUUUUUGUUUUGAGACAGUGUCUCACUCUGUUGCCCAGGCUGAAUGCAGUUGUGCCAUCAUAGUUCACUGUUACCUCGACCACCUGAGCUUAAGGGACCCUCCUCCUCCAGCUUCCCAGCUAGCUGGGGCUAGGCAUUAGCUACCACACCCAGCUAAUGUUUUAUUUCUUUUUCUUUUCUUUUUCUUUUUUUUUUUUUUUUUUUUUUUUUUUUUUGAGACGGAGUCUCGCUCUGUCGCCUAGACUGUAGUGCAGUGGCGCGAUCCCGGCUCACUGCAAGCUCCGCCUCCCGGGUUCACGCCAUUCUUCUGCCUCAGCCUCCGGAGUAGCUGGGACUACAAGCGCCCGCCACCACACCCGGCUAAUUUUUUGUAUUUUUAGUAGAGACGGGGUUUCACGUGUUAGCCAGGAUGGUCUCGAUCUCCUGACCUCGUGAUCCACCCGCCUCAGCCUCCCAAAGUGCUGGGAUUACAGGCGUGAGCCAUCGCGCCCGGCGGCUAAUUUUUUUUUUUUUUUUUUUGUAUUUUUAGUAGAGACGGGGUUUCACCGUGUUAGCCAGGAUGGUCUCGAUCUCCUGACCUCGUGAUCUGCCUGCCUCGGUCUCCCAAAGUGCUGGGAUUACAGGCGUGAGCCACCGCGCCCGGCCAAUAUUUUAUUUCUUGUAGAGACGGGGUCUCACUAUGUUGACCAGGCCAGUCUCAAACUCGUGGUCUCAAGCAGUCCUCCCACCUCAGGCUCCCAAAGUGUUAGGAUUACAGGCGUGAGCCACCGCCCCUGGCAAUACUAUACAAUUUUAUAAGGGACUUGAGCAUCCUUGGAUCUUGGUAUCUGCAGGGGUCCUGGAACCAGUCCCCAGUGUUACUGAGGGAUGACUGUAUAUACCUUUGCAUAUAAUAUAUAUACACAUAGACAUACAAAUAGUUUCAUGUUAGUUGUUUAAGAACUUAAUAGAAGAGAACUAUGUGCCUUUAGUAAAAUAGAUCAGUUUAGUUCUAACUGUUUAAGAACUUUGAACAAUCUGUACUGUGCAAUGUACUCUGAAUUCCCUGGGUCAUUAAUGACUGAUAUGGUUUGGAUCUGUGUCCCUGCUUAAAUCUCAUGUUGAAUUGUAAUCCCCAAUAUUGGAGGCGGGGCCUGGUGGGAGGUGAUUGGGUCACAGGGGCAGAUUUCUCCCUUGCUGUUCUCGUGAUAGUGAGUUCCCACAAAAUCUGGUUAUUUGCAAGUGUGCGCCUCUUCCCCACUGCCUCUCUUGCCCCUUUUCCUGCCGUGGAACAGAUGCCUGCAUCCCCUUCGCCUCCUGUCAUGAUUGGCUAGGCUGAAGAUCAGCAUGUGUCGGGCCACAGCUUCCAGAUUAUUCUCCAGCACAAAGAACUAGAAGGAUGGACAGGGCAGAAUAAUUCUGAGACCUGUUUGCCUGGGUCCUAGGAGACCCAGGAGAGCAGGCCCUCAGCUCUCUCCUUCCACACACCCGAGUUCUGUACACCAGCCUCUUCCUUCAAACACAGAAGUCUGUGUCCCCAGAGCUCUCUUCCCUUCCAUUACUCAGAAGACCUCAUCCUCGAGCUCUUCCCCACUAUAGAACCCAGGAGUUCCAAACCCCAGCCCCUUCCUUCCCCCAAGACGCAUCGGUUCGCUCCCAGCUUCUGCCUCCCUCAGAUCUAGGAGUCUCCAGCCCCUUCAUUCCUGGACCUGAGGUUUUAGAAUUUCAAUCCCUUCCUCCCUCAAGGACUCGGGAAUCUGGGCUCUCAUCUUCAUCCCAGCUCACGUUGAACCUCCUGCGAGGCCAGAACUUCGCUCGGGACAGGGUCCGCAGCAGGUGCCGUCCAUCCACAGAGCCCAGAAGCAGCACAUCUAGCUCGGGGUUGCUGUGCACUGUAUCGGCCUGGGAGUCUGGGUCCACAGGAGGACCUGGCAAGAUGACAGCUGGCUGGGGCACCAUGGUGGUUGGCAGAGCGUCCACCGUAGCAUCCCCUAUAAAAAAUGGACUACAAAUCCCAG